rnacentral:rRNA from 1 species
GAUGAACGCUGGCGGCGUGCCUAAUACAUGCAAGUCGAGCGAACAGACGAGGAUCUUUCUCCUCUUACGUUAGCGGCGGACGGGUGAUUACCACGUGGCUAACCUACCUAUAAGACUGGGAUAACUUCGGGAAACCUGAGCUAAUACCGGAUAAUAUAUUGAACCGCAUGGUUCAUUAGUGAAAGACGGUUUUGCUGUCACUUAUAGAUGGAUCCGCGCCGCAUUAGCUAGUUGGUACGGUAACGGCUUACCAAGGCAACGAUGCGUAGCCGAUCUGAGAGGGUGAUCGGCCACACUGGAACUGAGACACGGUCCAGACUCCUACGGGAGGCAGCAGUAGGGAAUCUUCCGCAAUGGGCGAAAGCCUGACGGAGCAACGCCGCGUGAGUGAUGAAGGUCUUCGGAUCGUAAAACUCUGUUAUUAGGGAAGAACAAAUGUGUAAGUAACUAUGCACGUCUUGACGGUACCUAAUCAGAAAGCCACGGCUAACUACGUG